rnacentral:rRNA from 1 species
AGAGUUUGAUCCUGGCUCAGGACGAACGCUGGCGGCGUGCUUAACACAUGCAAGUCGAACGAGAAUCUGUGGAAAGAGGAUUCGUCCAAUUGAAGCAGAGGACAGUGGCGGACGGGUGAGUAACGCGUGAGGAACCUGCCUUUCAGAGGGGGACAACAGUUGGAAACGACUGCUAAUACCGCAUGACACAUAGGUGUCGCAUGGCACUUAUGUCAAAGAUUUAUCGCUGAAAGAUGGCCUCGCGUCUGAUUAGCUAGUUGGUGAGGUAACGGCCCACCAAGGCGACGAUCAGUAGCCGGACUGAGAGGUUGAACGGCCACAUUGGGACUGAGAUACGGCCCAGACUCCUACGGGAGGCAGCAGUGGGGAAUAUUGGGCAAUGGGCGCAAGCCUGACCCAGCAACGCCGCGUGAAGGAAGAAGGCUUUCGGGUUGUAAACUUCUUUUGUCAGGGACGAGUAGAAGACGGUACCUGACGAAUAAGCCACGGCUAACUACGUGCCAGCAGCCGCGGUAAUACGUAGGUGGCAAGCGUUGUCCGGAUUUACUGGGUGUAAAGGGCGUGUAGCCGGGAGGGCAAGUCAGAUGUGAAAUCCACGGGCUCAACUCGUGAACUGCAUUUGAAACUACUCUUCUUGAGUAUCGGAGAGGCAAUCGGAAUUCCUAGUGUAGCGGUGAAAUGCGUAGAUAUUAGGAGGAACACCAGUGGCGAAGGCGGAUUGCUGGACGACAACUGACGGUGAGGCGCGAAAGCGUGGGGAGCAAACAGGAUUAGAUACCCUGGUAGUCCACGCUGUAAACGAUGAAUACUAGGUGUGCGGGGACUGACCCCCUGCGUGCCGCAGCUAACGCAAUAAGUAUUCCACCUGGGGAGUACGAUCGCAAGGUUGAAACUCAAAGGAAUUGACGGGGGCCCGCACAAGCGGUGGAUUAUGUGGUUUAAUUCGAAGCAACGCGAAGAACCUUACCAGGGCUUGACAUCCUACUAACGAGAUAGAGAUAUGUUAGGUGCCCUUCGGGGAAAGUAGAGACAGGUGGUGCAUGGUUGUCGUCAGCUCGUGUCGUGAGAUGUUGGGUUAAGU